UACGUAGGGGGCGAGCGUUGUCCGGAUUUAUUGGGCGUAAAGAGCGUGUAGGCGGCCUGAAAGGUCAGCUGUGAAAACUCGGGGCUCAACCCCGAGACGUCGGUUGAAACCAUCUGGCUAGAGUCCGGAAGAGGAGUGUGGAAUUCCCGGUGUAGCGGUGAAAUGCGCAGAUAUCGGGAAGAACACCCGUGGCGAAGGCGGCACUCUGGGACGGUACUGACGCUGAGACGCGAAAGCGUGGGGAGCGAACAGG
rnacentral:rRNA from 1 species